UGUCGGUAUUGCCGAGCGGAAAAGUGAAAGUGAAAGCGAAUGCAACACAGUUCAAGAGUUUGACGUAAAAUGGUUAAAGAAACAAGUAAUUGACACACUCACACAAACAUACAAAGUUAAAUUGUACACCCAGUGUGCUGAAGCAAAGGAAAUUUAACGGAAAAUCUACGAGUUUUACGCGGAAAUUUAAUUUAUUCAACUAAAUAUGCCAAGUAUAAAAAUAAACAUACACAUAUAUAUAUUCACACGAGGAAGUUUUCUCAUUAAAAAAACAAAACCUAUAAAUACAAGAAAAAACUUUGAAGCAUUUACGUCUGCAAACAAGGAUAACACGAAGUUGUGUAGACGUGACUUGGCGUAUUUGUGUCAAGAUAAUGAUUUUUUUUUUUUUUUUUAAUUUAAAUUUUCUUGGCUUCAGCUACUCAUAGCUUUCGUGACUAAAUUUAUACUUAAAUUGACAAACAGUGAAACUUGAGUGUACUGCAGACAAGUCUCCUUCGCCCAAAUCGAUAAUGGCGAGGCUACCAAUGAUACGUUUAAGCAGCAAAGCCGAAUUUCGUACAACGAAGAGUUUUUUUUAUGAUUAAUCAAAAUUCUGAGGAACCGGUAAACUCAUUAUAGACACGGUCACAUUAACAAACCACAGCGGAAGAGUAAACCUCAAUAAAAUUAGAAGCUCGGAGGCAGAGGUUGAUGAGGUUGACGUUAGUGUAGUAGUAACGGCGAAUUUAAGAGGAAAUAUAUUUUUUGAUUUAAAUAUUUAUAUUAAAUACAUAAAAUAGUAAUACAAUUUAAAUAAAUAAAAUAUUUUUAUAAAGAAUAAUCAAA